rnacentral:lncRNA from 1 species
CGGGUGAGAGAGGAUAGAUAUCAAAAAGGUAACACUGGUAAUCUUUGGAUGGGAUUGGUUGGGGUUUAGAAGAGAUGGAAAACAUGAGAAAACUAUGAAUGUUUAUCAAUUUAGAGAAUGGAAUAUUUUAAUAGAUUUGUGUACUGUUAUAUAGUGGAAUAUUAAUAUGAAAUAUUCAUGUCUCCAUAAGAGGUUGGUUGGGGGCUAGAGAAGAUGAUUAAUUUUUGUUUUUCUAUGUUUUUAUUGUUUAACUCUUUACAUUGAGCAGAUACUACUUCAAAUAAUUACAAUAGUAGAAAAACUAAAAUUGAUUUUAAUUCAUAAGGCAAGUAGAUAAUGUAAAACAUUAAGAUUUUAGAACUCUUAGAAAGUUAGAAACUCUAGGGAAAAUAAUAAAUUCUAGAAACUCAACAGGUACACUAAAAGUGUCACAAGAACCAAGAGGAGGAGGAGAUAAACAUUCUCUGAACUUUUGGAAGUCUUGGAAGACAUAGCUCUAAAAAUAUCAUAACACUAGAUAACUAGGAUUAUUUUAGGUAUCAGUUGUGUCACAUACAUAUAUAUGUAUAUAUACACAUAUAUCCUUGGUCAGCUUGAAUUAGUAUUUAAAAAUGAGCAAGCAACAGGCAACAAUAGCCACACAGACGGACUCUGGUGACUUAUGUAACAGCAGAGAUCUAGAAGUAUUAGUCCUGACUCUUGGGUCAGAAAUGUAACCUCCGGUCAAUGGGCCUCUUUUUUUUUUUCCCUUGGCUUUCACCCAGCUUUGCUGCUCUUAUACAGAUGUGACAUUAUUCCCUGAAUCACCAGCACAUGAACAAAAGAAUUUCUAUGAGAAGUUAACAAAGGGGAAACUAUGACUUGGGGAGUUUUUAACUUCCCAAAGUUCAGAUGAAGUCUCACUCUAUCACCCAGGCUGGAGUGCAGUGGCAUGAUCUCAGCUGACUGCAACCUCUGCCUCCCGGUUCAAGUGAUUCUCCUGCCUCAGCCUUCUGAGUUACUGGGACUACAGGUCCAGUGUGCUUGUUGCUCGAGACCUCAUGCCUUCUGGACCCAGACAUCUCUGCAAUCUUGGAACUGGAAUACACCGCUUCUUGUCAAGGUACUAGCGAGUUGAUAAGUAACUCCUCUCAGUGGUAUUUCUUUGAAACACUCAUGCUGAAUACCCCUGAAAUAUCGCAUGUCCUUCUCCCACCACACCCCCCACUGAGGGUAAGCACACCUUCCUGGCAUGACUUCAGGGACACUAUACUUCUAAUUCCAAUUGUGGCUAGAAUAUCUGCAUCUCUCCGCCUUCUCUUGUAAGGACAAAAAACAUCUUCAAAUACAUGUUAUUUUCCUUUUUCCAUGAGUCUACACUUUCAUUGAAAAGGUUGCUAGGAGCUGUAUUAGACAUGACUUGAAUUUUUUUAAAGUUUUGUUUUUUUCCUUUCAGCUUGAGGCUUCUUACUCAUACAACCUAUGUUUCCUCUAACUGGGGGUGGGGGUGGGAAUCUGUCCUUUGAGC